rnacentral:lncRNA from 1 species
CUGGCCUAAGGAGCUGUGGGUUUGAUGCCUCUUCCCUGCCUCCUGCAUUCAAAAGGAGUAUAUGUUACCUAGGUAUCACCUGGCCACUUGUGACCCUAACAGAAGCAAUGAAUAAAUCUGGAAGCAAAAACAAACAGAGAAACCAGAGAAGAAGAUCCAGGUCUCAGGAGCCCUCGGGGAAGGUUUGGUGGCUGCAGAAAAGGACUUUCUCUGAGAAUCCAGAAGUGACAUCAGGGAAGAACCUCAAAGGAUCCAUGGUCCCCCAACACAGCAAGUCAGUGCAGCUCCUAGAAUCCCUUCCUUCAGGGAGGCCCAGAGAAAUAAAGUGUUAAGAGGCCUUACCCUCAGGCGACAUCUUCUUUCAGCCUCUGUGGCUACAGUAUGUACAGUGUGCUGAGUGGGGAAGGACCUCUCUCCCUGUUAAAUCUGUAGUGCGACCACAUGGAAGGCAUCUGAGGACCUAGAGCAAGGAGACGUGGCUAUCCUGCCCCACUGUGGUCCCAAUCUAGGUACUGAAUCAGCAUCUUCCAAGGAUUUUAAAAUAGAAACCCCAGUUUCCAGCCCACACCAAUGAAUCAGAAUCUCUCAGGAAGGGGCUCAGGGAAGCUGUGUUUUUAAAAACUCCAAGUACCUUACCUUCUCACCAUCAUGAAAAUAGAAAUGAACGAAAUUAAUGAGGCAAAAAUUUCCAGGCACUGGACCAGGGGCACAGUGCAGAACUGUGAUCUCUGAGAGGAGGACAACACUUAAGGGAGGGAG